rnacentral:rRNA from 1 species
CCUACGGGAGGCAGCAGUCGAGAAUCAUUCACAAUGGGGGAAACCCUGAUGGUGCGACGCCGCGUGAGGGAAUGAAGUCCUUCGGUUUGUAAACCCCUGUCAUGUGGGAGCAAAAUAAAAAGAUAGUACCACAAGAGGAAGAGACGGCUAACUCGGUGCCAGCAGCCGCGGUAAUACAGAGGUCUCAAGCGUUGUUCGGAAUCACUGGGAGUAAGGCGUGCGGAGGUGGUUUAGUAAGUCGUGGGUGAAAGUGGCGGGUUCAACCGGCGGACGGCUCAUAAUACUGCGAGACUAGAGUAAUGGAGGGGAAACCGGAAUUCCUGGUGUAGCAGUGAAAUGCGUAGAUAUUGGGAGGAACACUAGUGGCGAAGGCGAGUUCCUGGACAUUAACUGACGCUGAGGCACGAAGGCCAGGGGAGCGAAAGGGAUUAGAUACCCCAGUAGUC